AUUGAACGCUGGCGGCAUGCCUUACACAUGCAAGUCGAACGGUAACGCGGGGCAACCUGGCGACGAGUGGCGAACGGGUGAGUAAAGUAUCGGAACGUGCCCAGUAGUGGGGGAUAGCCCGGCGAAAGCCGGAUUAAUACCGCAUGAGACCUGAGGGUGAAAGCGGGGGCUCGCAAGACCUCGCGCUAUUGGAGCGGCCGAUAUCAGAUUAGGUAGUUGGUGGGGUAAAGGCCUACCAAGCCGACGAUCUGUAGCUGGUCUGAGAGGACGACCAGCCACACUGGGACUGAGACACGGCCCAGACUCCUACGGGAGGCAGCAGUGGGGAAUUUUGGACAAUGGGCGCAAGCCUGAUCCAGCCAUGCCGCGUGCGGGAAGAAGGCCUUCGGGUUGUAAACCGCUUUUGUCAGGGAAGAAAUCUCCUGGGCUAAUACCUCGGGGGGAUGACGGUACCUGAAGAAUAAGCACCGGCUAACUACGUGCCAGCCGCCGCGGUAACAC
rnacentral:rRNA from 1 species